UGAUUGGGGUGAAAUCGUAACAAGGUAGCYGUAGGUGAACCUGCAGAAGGAUCA
rnacentral:rRNA from 1 species